UACGGAGGGUGCAAACGUUGCUCGGAAUUAUUGGGCGUAAAGAGCGCGCAGGUGGUUGAUUAAGUCUGAUGUGAAAGCCCACGGCUUAACCGUGGAGGGUCAUUGGAAACUGGUCGACUUGAGUGCAGAAGAGGGAAGUGGAACUCCAUGUGUAGCGGUGAAAUGCGUAGAGAUAUGGAGGAACACCAGUGGCGAAGGCGGCUUCCUGGUCUGUAACUGACACUGAGGCGCGAAAGCGUGGGGAGCAAACAGG
rnacentral:rRNA from 1 species